AAACAUGAUGGGGGCACUACUUUUGUAAAUCCUUAAACCUCUCCCAAGCUUCAUAGAUAAAUUCAUCAUCCCUUUGGUAAAAAGUGGUGAUCUCAUUUCUCAAUUU